AUCCUUUUGUGGUUCAUAAGUGUGAUGAUUGGGUUUUCACACUCAUGUAUGAGAUAUGCCUCCCUCGAACCCUGUUAUAGCAUCGGCACAUUACAUGUCUGACA